rnacentral:tRNA from 1 species
GCUUAAUUAGUUUAAAUUAAAAAUAAUAAAUUGUGGAUUUAUAGAUAUAUUAUAUUAAGCA